UGAGUUUGAUCAUGGCUCAGGACGAACGCUGGCGGCGUGCUUAACACAUGCAAGUCGAACGGGAUCCGAUGCUGUUUUGUGUUUGGGUGAGAGUGGCGAACGGGUGAGUAACACGUGAGUAACCUGCCCCCUUCUUUUGGAUAACCGCAUGAAAGUGUGGCUAAUACGAGAUAAUCCAUUUGGGUCGCAUGGCCUGUUUGGGAAAUGCUUUGUUGUGGUGGGGGAUGGGCUCGCGGCCUAUCAGCUUGUUGGUGGGGUGAUGGCCUACCAAGGCGGUGACGGGUAGCCGGCCUGAGAGGGUGGGCGGUCACACUGGGACUGAGAUACGGCCCAGACUCCUACGGGAGGCAGCAGUGGGGGAUUUUGCACAAUGGGCGCAAGCUUGAUGCAGCGACGCCGCGUGGGGGAUGAGGGCCUUCGGGUUGUAAACCUCUUUCGCUGGGUUGAAAGGCCACGCAUGGGUGUGGUUGAUUUGAACUGGUAAAGAAGUA
rnacentral:rRNA from 1 species